rnacentral:rRNA from 1 species
ACGGGAGGCAGCAGUGAGGAAUAUUGGUCAAUGGGCGGAAGCCUGAACCAGCCAAGUCGCGUGAAGGAUGAAGGUAUUAUGUAUUGUAAACUUCUUUAGCUGUGGAGCAAUAAUCUCCAUGUAUGGAGAGAUGAGAGUACACAGAGAAUAAGGAUCGGCUAACUCCGUGCCAGCAGCCGCGGUAAUACGGAGGAUCCGAGCGUUAUCCGGAUUUAUUGGGUUUAAAGGGUGCGCAGGCGGCUUUCUAAGUCAGUGGUCAAAUCGUGGUGCUCAACGCCAUCCCGCCAUUGAUACUGGAGAGCUUGAUUGCGGUCGAGGUUUGCGGAAUUCGUCGUGUAGCGGUGAAAUGCAUAGAUAUGGCGAAGAACUCCGAUUGCGUAGGCAGCUGACCAAGCCGUAAAUGACGCUCAUGCACGAAAGUGCGGGGAUCGAACAGGAUUAGAUACCCUGGUA